rnacentral:rRNA from 1 species
GAUGAACGCUGGCGGCGUGCCUAAUACAUGCAAGUCGAGCGAACGGACGAGAAGCUUGCUUCUCUGAUGUUAGCGGCGGACGGGUGAGUAACACGUGGAUAACCUACCUAUAAGACUGGGAUAACUUCGGGAAACCGGAGCUAAUACCGGAUAAUAUUUUGAACCGCAUGGUUCAAAAGAGAAAGACGGUCUUGCUGUCACUUAUAGAUGGAUCCUCGCUGCAUUAGCUAGUUGGUAAGGUAACGGCUUACCAAGGCAACGAUGCAUAGCCGACCUGAGAGGGUGAUCGGCCACACUGGAACUGAGACACGGUCCAGACUCCUACGGGAGGCAGCAGUAGGGAAUCUUCCGCAAUGGGCGAAAGCCUGACGGAGCAACGCCGCGUGAGUGAUGAAGGUCUUCGGAUCGUAAAACUCUGUUAUUAGGGAAGAACAUAUGUGUAAGUAACUGUGCACAUCUUGACGGUACCUAAUCAGAAAGCCACGGCUAACUACGUG